rnacentral:rRNA from 1 species
UACGGAGGGAGCUAGCGUUGUUCGGAAUUACUGGGCGUAAAGCGCACGUAGGCGGCUUUGUAAGUUAGAGGUGAAAGCCCGGGGCUCAACUCCGGAACAGCCUUAAGACUGCAUCGCUUGAAUCCAGGAGAGGUGAGUGGAAUUCCGAGUGUAGAGGUGAAAUUCGUAGAUAUUCGGAAGAACACCAGUGGCGAAGGCGGCUCACUGGACUGGUAUUGACGCUGAGGUGCGAAAGCGUGGGGAGCAAACAGG